CUCGGUUCAGCCAGACAGGUCAUUGCUUCAGCUGUCCAACAUCCAGUUUGUGGUGCUGCACAACAACCCCACUUUUUAGUGGAUAUAUUCAAGCGAACCUAAAGGCUCUUUUAAGAGCCAUCCACAUUGCACAGGACUUUUUCUAUUGGACGUCUUAUUCAUUAUUACGCUGAAAACGUAUAAAAACGCUGAAAACGUAUAAAAACGCUGAAAACGUAUAAAAACGCUUCUUGUGAUUCUGAAAAAACGCUUCUUGUGAUUCUGAAAAACGCUUCUUGUGAUUCUGAAAACCCCCUUCCUGUGAGCCUUAAAAUCUUCUUCCUGUGAACCCAACUACAAAAACCAAGUUAACAUUGACACCAGUUAGUGAACUACAAUUACUGCAAGAGAAAAGGAGCUCCAAAACAUCUCUUCCAGUACACCUUGCUGCCUGUUGUCUUCAAGAAGGACCACUGAUUCAAGCUCAGCUUUUGAAGACCACUGUUUAACGUUACAUUAGUUACAUUUUUGUGGUGUUGUUUAUCAUACAGGUUUAUUUUAUAAGGUAUAUACAAUUAAAUAGUCUUUCUGUAGUCGUGUUAAUCACAUUUUGAAACAAAAACAUUUACUGUACAGUAGACGUUAAAGUACAUUUGGGUGACAUUUUAUUUAUUAUAAACAUUCUGCUACAUAUUACAUUAGUCUGAGUUAAUAAAUCUGUGCCAGUAUUACAUUAGUCUGAGUUAUAACAUCUGUGUUACAUUAGUCUUAGUUGUUACACCUCUUUUAAGUAUUACAUUAGUUUUGAGUUGUUUAAUCUGUGCUAGAAUUACAUUAGUCUGAGUUAUAACAUCUGUUUUACAUUAGUCUGUGUUAUUACAUUUGGGUUAAGUCUUACACUAGUCAGUUAUAACAUCUGUUUUACAUUAGUCUGUGUUAUUACAUUUGGGUUAAGUCUUACACUAGUCAGUUAUAAUAUCUGUUUUAUAUUCAUCUGAGUUAUUAAAUCUGUGCUAGUAUAUUAUUAGUUCUUUUUUUGCAUUCCUGUUAAUCUCAUAUAUAACUUCAGUGGAUAAGUAAACAGUAAAAAUUUACUUAAAUCUUAUUUAAUCUGUGUUAGGAGAGUGUGAAUCAUACGUGACGUUGUGUGCUGUAUAACACCAUUGUGAUUUAAAGCAUUCGUGCUUACAGUUAAGCAAUAUUUUCAUAUAUUUGUGUGUCAUAUAUUUAACUUCAUUGAGUAAUUGAUUGCAUAAUAGACAUUACCUGUGGCUAUAAGUUCAUAAUCAGUCAUAUAUUUUAAAAUUGAUCUGUUUAAGCAUUACAUCUGCUCCACCUAGUUGCUUUGUAUAUCUCAAUACUUUACUGUGUAGUUGAUUAUAUAGGCAUUUUAUACAAGUAAAAAGAUACUAA